AGGACUCUGCUUGUUAAGCUUGUUUGUUCUUUGACCCUGCGAUGGGAGGAACUCAGGUGUAGGAGUCAGGAAAUCCGAAUAAAGAUAAUUGCUUGCUGCUUCCUAUUGGUGGGCCUUUAAAAAGGGCUGUUUCUGUAAAGUAAAGCCGACUUCUCUUGGUCUCCGCUCAGGCUUGAGUGUUCUUUCCUUUCUCAGUCCUCACACCCCAACUCGGGCUGUUUCAUGUUGUCAUGGCUGGACCGCCACAGGAGGUCAGAGCAGCCAGGAAGUGUCAUCCGCAGCAGAAAAUGGGCUGCCUUAAGUGAGCACCUCCUUCACCCUGGACACUAUGUCCAGGCCCCAAAGGAGACCGCAGUCUGGGCUGAGCUGUCGGAAGAGAAAACCUGUAUGCUGUGCUUGGAGCCGGGGGCCAGUGGCCUCUCUGCACAGGGCUUCGCCCGCUGGCCUGCGCUUCGGCUGAGCUUCUCCCCUCCUCCAGCGCCUCGGUGUCCUCUCCUCAUCCCACCCUGCCACACCGCGGCGGAGGAGCCCGGAACCUGCGCCUCUCCUGCCCAGGGCCCCGGACACUGAGCUCCCGUCUAGGUGGCUCUGGGUUCUGUGGCCUCCAGCCCUGGACCUUGUGGUGACGCAGACCCGGUGCUCACCGCCGCCUCCGUGGCUGCCAGGGCAGAGACGCGGGGAGGACCGGAGACUCCGAGUGUCCGCGAGGGGGCGGCCAGAAAGCCUGACUAAAAUUGGACCUUUCCCCCAUUGAAACAGAGCAGGGCUACUGUCGCAGUAAGAAACUUUGUCCGUAACUUGCAGAAACUAUUUUUAAAAUAACCCAAACAUGUGUUGCCACAGUGAAAACCACAGAAAUGAAACACACACACACACACACGCACACACGCACACUGCUUCCCUUGCACCGGUGUGGGUGCGUGCAGGACACAGUGGUGACAGGUGGUGACCUGUGUGUGCACUCUGACCCUAGUGCCCAUAGGUGGAGAGAGAAGAGUCAGAGUGCUGUCUGCCGCUGAGGACAGUGCGGGUGACUGUCUGCACCCCAACCUGCCCGUGGCCUCCCCGUCCCUGCCCAGCAGGCCCCACCUGGGAGUCUGGCGAUAAAGCUCAGCUUGCUCACCUGCCCCAGUGAGGCCCUUCGGCCCUUUCUUAUCUUCUUCUUGUCAUUCUAUCAACUAGUUUUCUGUUUACAAAACUUGACCGCAAGUGUACACAUGCUGCUCAGACGCAGGACUCUCUGCUGGCGGCUGUCCCACGCCCGCUCACAUCUGUGCCUAGCGUGUCCUCACAGGCCUGCCUGUGCCCAGUACAGCCAAUGCCAGGUGCAGCACAGCUGUCACAGGCGAGAAAAGGACACAUCCUCUGCUCCCGGUAUUCAGGCUCACUGGGACGUCUUCUGUCUUCCUGUAAAGGGCAUGUGGGCCACGAGGCCAAGUCGCAAUCUUAGGUAAGUUACCCUCCCGGUAAGCAGUGUGGCCUGACACUGGGAAAGCCCUGGACACCUCACAAAAAGAGUGGACAGCUCAGGGCCACUCAGCCAGUAGAGGCUCAUCAAGAAGGGGUCCCCAGGCUGGGUACCCACUUCCCCGGGACACAGGGCUCUGGCAAUGCCCGCAGCCCCGGAGUGGAGGAACAUUUGUCCUUCAAGCUUCCUGGCCGCCCUCUGCUGGUAGCAUGUGGUCUGUGCAUCGACUUGGUCCUGCAAGAGUCAGCAGCAAUCCAGGCUCCCGAGACCCCGACACCACGUGGGGCCUGGCAGAGGGCUCACUGGGCCCCUGAGGUCACUGACAAGUCCCCUGCAGGCUUCUCUCAAAUGGGAAUUGGGCUCCCAAAUUCUGCUGACCUCAGGCCAGCCCUUUCUGCUAAGAGCAGGCCACACCCAGGGCCAUGAGAUACAGCCAGAGAUCCUGGCUUUGAGCUGUCGGACACCUCUUCAUCCCCGGUGUAUGGCCUUGGGGCGGCAUCCAGUUCCUAUCUCGGGGCCUGAGGUCCUGUCCUCCCCAUCAGAACCUCUGGGGCACAGGUGGGUCCACACAGCCCAUCAACAGGUUGAGGGGCGUGGAAGGCGAGGCCUGAGUGUCCCGAGUGGCUCCGACUACACUCCUGGCUGGAAGGACAACAUCUGAAGAAGUGGAGGUGCGGGCGGAGGCCCUGGGAGAGGCCAGGAAGAGCAGAGUGCCAGUCAUCCUGUCACUGGGACUAGGAGGUGAAGCAGGCGCCUGGCAGGUACGUGGCACUCACUGGGUGACAGAAUUCCUGCAGUGCCCCGGACAACAGGAUCUGAGUAGGAGAGUGACACUUCUGCAUCCGGAGGGCAUUUGCUGCUGUCUUCGCAGGUAAAUUACUGGUGACAAUGAGGUCUGGUGUGAGAUACUGAGACCAGGGGACACAGAAGGUGCAGAGCAAGCCGCGGGAGGUGACAGGCCAGGAAGUCCCUCUGCGAGUGUCCUGUGGGUGGGUGCCAGUACGGCACACUGCAUGGCACUGGGGCACUGCCAUUCCCUGCCAGGCACCGAGAAGUGACAGCUAGCCGUCCACAGACAGCUUGUAGUCUAAGGCUGUGCAGGAGGCCGCCAGUGCGGUCUUGCUGAGGGCUCAGGGGAGCCCUCCAGGGAGAUGACAUUUGCAUCACAAUCCUAGUUUUGGGUCUUCAGUGAGCCCGGGUUCACUGAGGUGCACCAUUCCCAGAGUGCACUAGGGAAAGAUGGGGGGGGCUGAUGCUGCAGGUGUGACCUGUGGGUACUGUUUGACCUGGGACUGUCCUGAGAAGACAGACUGCAAGCGCAGGGUUGGGGCAGAAAGUCCAUCUCCCUGUUGUUGUCUCCCACUGGUGAAAGGUCUGUUCAAGACCCUCCCUAACUGUAAGGUUGCACAGCCUCAGCCUAAAAAGUGUCUCAGCCUCCUGGUCAAUGGAGUUCCACAGCGCGACUCAGCACAGGUAGGAGCCAAUCUGGGGGCUGUCUGGAUGCUGGCUGGACUCAGGGUUGGUGGCUGUUGGCUGAAGGAGCCCCAAGAAUUGGAGAAGUGCACAGGUUUUAUUUGUUGACCUGGGGAGAGCAUCCAGGCAAGGGCCAGAGGGUGCAAAGGCACCGUGGCUUUUCUGCCCUUCCAUCUUGUAACUCCUCGAAGUGACACACAUGGGACAUAGCCCUGUCCCAAGUAAAGGGCUCUGCAUUCUGCCAAUGGGCGCCCAAGAAGCCAGGCAGGAGAGAGGCCCAAAGGGAGCACAUAGUAGGUGACUCCAGAAUGUUUCCCCUGUGGCUGGGCUUCUGCACUCAGGCUGUCCCACCUGGCCUGGCCCACUGAACAUGCUGGGCAGUGGCUGAGCGCCGAGCGUGGAGUUGGGGCUGGGGAGACGAGGAGAGCCAGGGCUCUGCCUGCAGAUGCUAACACGAAAGGAGCAAGCAGAAAUGAUCUGAAGUGUAGGCGUUCUGGGUUCAAUCUCUCUUCCCCCUUUGGACCCAGGUUAAGCCUCCGUUUCCUCAUCUGUACAACAGAGACCAGAGGGCCUAUUCAUGGAAGGGACCUGGGAAAAACAGUGAGGAUUCACAAGCCGAGACCAUGCAGUCCAGGGCGGGGGCUCCCAAGACCCCUAGGUCGCAAGGAUCACACUGCAGCCAGCACUGGUCUCCAAAGCCUUUAUUAGGGAGCCUGGGCCAGGGUCUCACAGCUCCAGGAACCGUGGGAAGGGUACAGAGGAAGAGGGGUCCUCUCCUCCAGGAAAAGGCACUGAUGGGAGGCACCCGGAGUGGCCAGGU